UACGUAGAGAGCAAGCGUUGUCCGGAAUCAUUGGGUGUAAAGGGUACGCAGGCGGUCUAUUAAGUCAGUGGUGAAAUCCAACAGCUCAACUGUUGAACUGCCUUUGAUACUGGUAGACUUGAGGAUAAGAGAAGAAAACGGAAUUCCUAGUGUAGCGGUGAAAUGCGUAGAUAUUAGGAAGAAUACCGAUGGCGAAAGCAGUUUUCUAACUUAUUCCUGACGCUCAGGUACGAAAGCUAGGGUAGCAAACGGG
rnacentral:rRNA from 1 species